rnacentral:sRNA from 1 species
UGCCUAAACUUCGAAAACGUUAGGUUUCGUUAAGUUCUCGAAGCAUGGCAGUAAAACCGAGUAAGUGAACGGAAGCUCUCCGUUUAGCAACUUACUCGGUCAUGUGGGGAAACUUACAUGGAUGAUCUGAAAUGGUCAUC